UCAGACGUGGUGUAACGUUAACAUGCCUUAUUGAAAUUGCCGAGGUGGUCCCGCGUUCGACUCCCGGUGUUUGAC